rnacentral:misc_RNA from 1 species
UCCUCCACCGCCGCUGCAG